rnacentral:rRNA from 1 species
GCGCAAUGGGCGGAAGCUGACGCAGCGACGCCGCGUGAGGGAUGACGGCCUUCGGGUUGUAAACCUCUUUCAGCCCUGACGAAGCAGUGAUGUNACGGUAGGGGUAGAAGAAGCACCGGCCAACUACGUGCCAGCAGCCGCGGUAAUACGUAGGGUGCGAGCGUUGUCCGGAAUUAUUGGGCGUAAAGAGCUCGUAGGCGGUCUGUCGCGUCGGCUGUGAAAUCCCGGGGCUCAACUCCGGGCUUGCAGUCGAUACGGGCAGGCUAGAGUUCGGCAGGGGAGACUGGAAUUCCUGGUGUAGCGGUGAAAUGCGCAGAUAUCAGGAGGAACACCGGUGGCGAAGGCGGGUCUCUGGGCCGAUACUGACGCUGAGGAGCGAAAGCGUGGGGAGCGAACAGGAUUAGAUACCCUGGUAGUCCGCGCCGUAAACGUUGGGCGCUAGGUGUGGGAUCCCUUCCACGGGUUCCGUGCCGCAGCUAACGCAUUAAGCGCCCCGCCUGGGGAGUACGGCCGCAAGGUAA